GGGUUGUGAGGUUAAGCGACUAAGCGUACACGGUGGAUGCCCUGGCAGUCAGAGGCGAUGAAGGACGUGCUAAUCUGCGAAAAGCGACGGCGAGGUGAUAUGAACCUUUGACCCGUCGAUGUCCGAAUGGGGAAACCCAGUGUGAUUCGUCACACUAUCGUUAACUGAAUACAUAGGUUAACGAGGCGAACCGGGGGAACUGAAACAUCUAAGUACCCCGAGGAAAAGAAAUCAACCGAGAUUCCCCCAGUAGCGGCGAGCGAACGGGGAGCAGCCCGGAGUCUGAAUCAGCUUGUGUGUUAGUGGAAGCGUCUGGAAAGUCGCACGGUACAGGGUGACAGUCCCGUACACGAAAAUGCACAGGUUGUGAACUCGAAGAGUAGGGCGGGACACGUGGUAUCCUGUCUGAAUAUGGGGGGACCAUCCUCCAAGGCUAAAUACUCCUGACUGACCGAUAGUGAACCAGUACCGUGAGGGAAAGGCGAAAAGAACCCCGGCGAGGGGAGUGAAAAAGAACCUGAAACCGUGUACGUACAAGCAGUGGGAGCACCUUCGUGGUGUGACUGCGUACCUUUUGUAUAAUGGGUCAGCGACUUAUAUUCUGUAGCAAGGUUAACCGUAUAGGGGAGCCGCAGGGAAACCGAGUCUUAACUGGGCGUUAAGUUGCAGGGUAUAGACCCGAAACCCGGUGAUCUAGCCAUGGGCAGGUUGAAGGUUGGGUAACACUAACUGGAGGACCGAACCGACUAAUGUUGAAAAAUUAGCGGAUGACCUGUGGCUGGGGGUGAAAGGCCAAUCAAACCGGGAGAUAGCUGGUUCUCCCCGAAAGCUAUUUAGGUAGCGCCUCGUGAAUUCAUCUUCGGGGGUAGAGCACUGUUUCGGCUAGGGGGCCAUCCCGGCUUACCAACCCGAUGCAAACUACGAAUACCGAAGAAUGUUAUCACGGGAGACACACGGCGGGUGCUAACGUCCGUCGUGAAGAGGGAAACAACCCAGACCGCCAGCUAAGGUCCCAAAGUCAUGGUUAAGUGGGAAACGAUGUGGGAAGGCACAGACAGCCAGGAUGUUGGCUUAGAAGCAGCCAUCAUUUAAAGAAAGCGUAAUAGCUCACUGGUCGAGUCGGCCUGCGCGGAAGAUGUAACGGGGCUAAACCAUGCACCGAAGCUGCGGCAGCGACACUAUGUGUUGUUGGGUAGGGGAGCGUUCUGUAAGCCGUCGAAGGUGGCCUGUGAGGGUUGCUGGAGGUAUCAGAAGUGCGAAUGCUGACAUAAGUAACGAUAAAGCGGGUGAAAAGCCCGCUCGCCGGAAGACCAAGGGUUCCUGUCCAACGUUAAUCGGGGCAGGGUGAGUCGACCCCUAAGGCGAGGCCGAAAGGCGUAGUCGAUGGGAAACAGGUUAAUAUUCCUGUACUUGGUGUUACUGCGAAGGGGGGACGGAGAAGGCUAUGUCAGCCGGGCGACGGUUGUCCCGGUUUAAGCGUGUAGGUGUGUGUUCCAGGCAAAUCCGGUUCACUUUAACACUGAGGCGUGAUGACGAGGCACUACGGUGCUGAAGUGAUAAAUGCCCUGCUUCCAGGAAAAGCCUCUAAGCAUCAGGUAACACGAAAUCGUACCCCAAACCGACACAGGUGGUCAGGUAGAGAAUACCAAGGCGCUUGAGAGAACUCGGGUGAAGGAACUAGGCAAAAUGGUGCCGUAACUUCGGGAGAAGGCACGCUGAUAUGUAGGUGAAGUCCCUGCGGACGGAGCUGAAAUCAGUCGAAGAUACCAGCUGGCUGCAACUGUUUAUUAAAAACACAGCACUGUGCAAACACGAAAGUGGACGUAUACGGUGUGACGCCUGCCCGGUGCCGGAAGGUUAAUUGAUGGGGUUAGCGGCAACGCGAAGCUCUUGAUCGAAGCCCCGGUAAACGGCGGCCGUAACUAUAACGGUCCUAAGGUAGCGAAAUUCCUUGUCGGGUAAGUUCCGACCUGCACGAAUGGCGUAAUGAUGGCCAGGCUGUCUCCACCCGAGACUCAGUGAAAUUGAACUCGCUGUGAAGAUGCAGUGUACCCGCGGCAAGACGGAAAGACCCCGUGAACCUUUACUAUAGCUUGACACUGAACACUGGUCCUUGAUGUGUAGGAUAGGUGGGAGGCUUUGAAGCGUGGACGCCAGUCUGCGUGGAGCCGUCCUUGAAAUACCACCCUUUAAUGGCUGGUGUUCUAACGUGGACCCGUAAUCCGGGUUGCGGACAGUGUCUGGUGGGUAGUUUGACUGGGGCGGUCUCCUCCCAAAGAGUAACGGAGGAGCACGAAGGUUAGCUAAUCCUGGUCGGACAUCAGGAGGUUAGUGCAAUGGCAUAAGCUAGCUUGACUGCGAGAGUGACGGCUCGAGCAGGUGCGAAAGCAGGUCAUAGUGAUCCGGUGGUUCUGAAUGGAAGGGCCAUCGCUCAACGGAUAAAAGGUACUCCGGGGAUAACAGGCUGAUACCGCCCAAGAGUUCAUAUCGACGGCGGUGUUUGGCACCUCGAUGUCGGCUCAUCACAUCCUGGGGCUGAAGUAGGUCCCAAGGGUAUGGCUGUUCGCCAUUUAAAGUGGUACGCGAGCUGGGUUUAGAACGUCGUGAGACAGUUCGGUCCCUAUCUGCCGUGGGCGCUGGAGAAUUGAGGGGGGCUGCUCCUAGUACGAGAGGACCGGAGUGGACGCAUCACUGGUGUUCGGGUUGUCAUGCCAAUGGCACUGCCCGGUAGCUAAAUGCGGAAGAGAUAAGUGCUGAAAGCAUCUAAGCACGAAACUUGCCCCGAGAUGAGUUCUCCCUGAGACUUUAAGUCUCCUGAAGGAACGUUGAAGACGACGACGUUGAUAGGCCGGGUGUGUAAGCGCAGCGAUGCGUUGAGCUAACCGGUACUAAUGAACCGUGAGGCUUAACCUUACAACGCCGAAGCUGUU
rnacentral:rRNA from 1 species